rnacentral:rRNA from 1 species
CCUACGGGAGGCAGCAGUGAGGAAUAUUGGUCAAUGGGCGUAAGCCUGAACCAGCCAAGUCGCGUGAGGGAUGAAGGUUCUAUGGAUUGUAAACCUCUUUUAUAUGGGAAUAAAGUGCGGGACGUGUCCCGUUUUGUAUGUACCUUAUGAAUAAGGAUCGGCUAACUCCGUGCCAGCAGCCGCGGUAAUACGGAGGAUCCGAGCGUUAUCCGGAUUUAUUGGGUUUAAAGGGUGCGUAGGCGGCCUUUUAAGUCAGCGGUGAAAGUCUGUGGCUCAACCAUAGAAUUGCCGUUGAUACUGGGAGGCUUGAGUAUGUUAGAGGCAGGCGGAAUGCGUGGUGUAGCGGUGAAAUGCUUAGAUAUCACGCAGAACCCCGAUUGCGAAGGCAGCCUGCCAAGCCAUGACUGACGCUGAUGCACGAAAGCGUGGGGAUCAAACAGGAUUAGAUACCCGAGUAGUC